AUCGACUGGAUUCGAAAACGUUUACAGGCUCUCCUGGAACACCAAACUAGAAAGCUUCGGUCGAAAUUCCAAGGGGAAAACGUACAUCGAGCAGGAAUAAAAGGUGGUAUACCCACUGCUUCAUAUAACAAAACAUAAAAUUGAGCGGAGUUUCUGUGACACCAUGUAUUUGAUACCAUUUUUAUUUGGUGCGCUCUUUGCUUCAGAGACUCUGGCUGGAUGCAUACGGAAAACGUGCCCUUUUGGCAGUGGCUACGGCUGCAUGCCCUUCAGAGAAUGUCCUCUAAAGUGCCAUACAUGUUAUAGUGGCUGCAAGUUCCCGUCUGUCUGCUGCAACCUGAGGAAAAUGAAUGCCUGCUCAUUGGCUGGAGGAACCUGCAGGCCUGUCUGCGAAUUGGAAAAUACCCGAGCCAGUUGCCCUCGACCCUUGAAGUGCUGCGUCUAUGUUACUCGCUGAGAAAACACUGUUAUAACUUACAAACAUGCUGAUCGAAACCUUGUUUUUAAAGAAACCUGCAAAAGACACGCUUCUUGCUCUC